GGGUGUGAGAGCACCCUGGCUGUUGCAGCCCUUCACCUCAGUGACAGCCGGCUGACCAGCUGGCUAGGCGGGUGUCCCCAUCCUCCCGCAAGGCUCCACAUGCAUCCCUCCUGAAGCUGUGCGCUCAGCUGAAGAGGACGACCCUGGUAGAGAAGGACCAUCCUCAGGGAUGCAAGGGGCUGUGCUCCCCUGCUAGAACCUCCGCACAAUCUCCUAAGAGACAGUUCAGCGGCAUAAACGCCUUGGCAAGCACAAGGUCCUAAGAUGAU
rnacentral:snRNA from 1 species